UACGUAGGGUGCGAGCGUUAAUCGGAAUUACUGGGCGUAAAGCGUGCGCAGGCGGUCUGUUAAGACAGAUGUGAAAUCCCCGGGCUCAACCUGGGAACUGCAUUUGUGACUGCAUCGCUGGAGUGCGGCAGAGGGGGAUGGAAUUCCGCGUGUAGCAGUGAAAUGCGUAGAUAUGCGGAGGAACACCGAUGGCGAAGGCAAUCCCCUGGACCUGUACUGACGCUCAUGCACGAAAGCGUGGGGAGCAAACAGG
rnacentral:rRNA from 1 species